CCUCCUUUCUGGUUGCUACUGGAUACCACACAAACAAUCCCUAUUAGGCAAUACCAAGAGUCAGAAGAGGACGUGGGUCAUACACUCCCCUUCUCUCUCUCUCUCUCUUUCUUUCUCUCGCUCUCUCAGGACCUAGCAUGUUAUUGUCCUUGGAAGUGUGUGUGUGUGUUGUUGGGGGAUGGUGGAGUGUGUAAGUGUGUGUACAUGUGUGUAGCUGUAUAUCUCGAGUAGCCUCACCUCUGAGAUAUUCGGAGUGUAGAGCAUGUUUGGCCUCUAGGACUGAUGAUGUCACACUAACUGGCAAUUUAGCUCCAGAUGUGAAAGCAGUGAAAUAUUAAAUUACAGAAACUGGCUUGUUCCUGCACUCUGGCUACAUCAAAAACAACCCUGCCCCUUCUCCCUGCUCACAAGUUCUGGUCUUACCCCAGACAAGUUGGAUGACUGAAACAGGCUGACUGGACUUAAAUGGUUACAAUCUACGCCCAAGGGCAAAGAACAGUUCCUGUUGUGUCUCUUCGUGUGUCUGCGGCUCUGGGAGAACCUGCUGAUGACCCCCGCAGAUUACAGAGCGCCGCACACUACUGCAUGUCAACAGACUGUGUGUGUUCUUUAUAUCUUAUGUCUUUGCAGUAAAGGUGAGACAUUUUGGUUGUUCCUCAUUGGUGGAACAAAAUGUUUAAGAAACCAUUCACAUUCCAUGCAUUGUUGCAUGUAAUUACUACAUUAAUAAAAUGUACACUGAGGGGAAAAAAGCUAAAGCU
rnacentral:lncRNA from 1 species